rnacentral:rRNA from 1 species
AGGUGAUAUAUUGAAAAAUGGUAUAUGUAAUUAAUAUUAUUUUAAGGAUUAUAAAUCAAAAUUUAUAAAUGAUAAAAAGAUUAACUAAAAAGUAAUCAAUCAUAAUCAUGAAAAUGAUAAAAAAUAAAAACAAGUGGAAUGAAACAUCUGAGUAACUUGUAAAAUAACCAACAGGGAUAAUAUAAGUAACGGUGAGUGAAAGUAUUAGAAUCUUAAAGUAUUACCAAGAGGUAAGAAUAAAGUAGUUUCCAACUACUAAGAAAAAAAAAUAAAUUUUAGAUUAAAGUACCGCAAGGGAAAGUAAGAAAAUAGAAUAAUAAAGAGCAAUCAUUGAAUGGUGUACCUCUUGUAUAAUGGGCCAGUGAGUUAUAUAUUUUAGUGAGAUUAAAUUCGAAUAUAAAUAGAAAUUAAUUAAAGUAUAUAGGCCCGAAAGCAAACGAUCUACACAUGUCCAAGUGUAUAUAAAACCUUAUAAGGUAUAUAUAUGACUCAAUAGGUAAUUGUAGCAAUAAUUUCUAAAGAGGUGUGUGUAGCUGUGACAGACAAAUCUGGUUUGCAGAUAGCUGGUUUUCUGCGAAAUAUAUUUUAGUAUAGCCUUUAUAAUCUGUUAAAUUAACAGACAUUUAAACUGGUACAGCACUUAAAUACCUUUGGGGAAUUAGAAUAUAAUUUUAUCAAAAUAUUUAAACCUCGGAAUCAGUGAAUAAUGAAAUAUAAGGAGUCAGACUUAUUGCGAUAAGGUAGUAAGUCGAGAAGGAAACAACCUAGACUAUUAAAUGAAUGUCCCAAAUAUUAAUUAAGUGAAUAAAAUCUAUCCUACUUUAAUUUUUAUCCCGCCCACCGAAGGUGGGCGGGGGAAAUAAUAUAUCCCCCCGCGAAGCGGGGGGGUUAAUUUUUAUAUAAAUAAAAAUCAAAAGUUAAAAUCUUAUGAUUUUACAUUAUUAUAUAUAAAUGCCGGCCGAAGGCCGGCAUUUAUAAACCUAAUCUUUUAGGCCAUAAUAUACGGGCUAUUAAAUUAUAGACAAUUAGUAAGUGGGUUUGACAAUAAUCAACUUUUAAUGAACAUGUAACAAUGCACUAAUUUUAUAUAUAUAUAUAUAAUUUUAUAUAUAUAUUUAUUAAUAAUAGAGAAAAUAUAUCGGGUCUAAAUUAAUAACAGUAUUAUAGAUAUAAUCAUAAAGAUUAUAUGGUAGCAGAAUAUAUAAUGAAAAAUUAUAAAGAGAUUGCUGGCUUGAGUAACGAUAGAUAAUAUAAGAUUAUCCCCUUAUUCAUAAGGUUUUACUAUAAACGAACGGUCCCUAAGAUUAAUAUAGAAAUAUAUAAUUAAUGGGUAAAAGAACAAGAAAAUAAAAAUGAACCGUACUGUAGACCGACACAGGUAUGAUAAAAAGGGAAUGGGAUAACUACUUUGAAUGAACUCGGCGUGCGACUUGAUAAGUCUUAAUUAAUAGUAUAACAUUUUGGUUAUAUUGUGUAUCUUCCACAUUUGUCUACUUAAACAUGGAUUAUAAGUAAUUAUUUUGUAUGAAGCUUUAAGGAAUAUGUUAUUUUUAAAAAUAACUUGACACGAUACUUAUGGUGAAUGAAAAUGAAUCGAAUGUUUGAACAAUCGUAAUUAUAUUAAUAUGGGCCCCCUUCGGGGGCCCAUUAUAAUACCCCCCCCUUCGGGGGGGGAUAUAUUAGGUAAUUGAUUUAAGUAUGUCGAGUGCUUAAAUGAAGAUCAAAUAAUACCAACGAUUGAUAAUUCGGCACCUAAAAGUUGAACUGAUAUUAAUUAAGGAACAAGGUAAGCCCAAUAUUUCUCAAAAAAAAAAGAUAGAUAAUUUAUAUACCCGCCCACUUUAUGUGGGCGGGUUUUUAUCUUUAUUUAUGAGUAGUUUAUUAUAAAAUAAGUAAUUAUGGAAAUAUAAAUAUAUAAUAUUGGGUAAAAGAUAAUUGAAAAAGCAAAUGCUUAGUGGUAAUAACUAAGAUAGGAAUUAUUAUUCUAAUCCGAGAGGGUGCAGACUUCAAUUAGAUGACUCGCUAUUAAAAAUAAUAGAGGUAACAAUAAAAGGAAAAUAAGCAUAAAAUAAUGGGGGGCCUACGGCCCCCCAUCAGUUACCCCCCCAAAGGGGGGGGAAAUAUAAUUUCCAUUAUGUGGGAGUUAUCUUGGUAAAAGCUGAGUAAAUUUUAUGUAAAAGAUACUAUAAAGUUACUGAAUAAUUGGGAAAACCAAUGAAAAAGGAGUUGUUUGAGCCGUAUGCGAUGAAAGUCGCAUGUACGGUUCUGAACGGGGGAAAAUCUGUGAGGAUCUACCUAUCGUAAUAAAAUAAAUCGUGCGACUGUUUACCAAAAACAUAGCUUAUUGCAUACUAGUAAUAGUAAGUAUAAUAAGUGAUAUCUGCCCGGUGUUAGUUUAAUAAAUAUUAUUAUUGUUUAGAUAAUUUUAUAAAAGACUGAUAAACGGCGGUCUUAUUGUGAGGAUCCGAAGGUAGCGGUGCGACAAGUUAAGUUCAUAAUAAGAAUAAGGUGUAAAUCCUUUACAAUUGUCAUAUUUGUAAACCUAACUCAACAUGCAUUAUAAGUAAUUAAUUUGUAUGAAGCUUGAGUGACAACGGCUAUAAACUUUAACUGAUAUAAGUGAUCUAGUCUAGGUUAGAACAACAUGAUUAGUAUAAACUAAAUAGUGUAUUAAAAUCUCGUUAUAGGUAAGUAACUUGUUCAGUAUUUGGUUACUUUAUGAUUAAAAUAAUAUUGACGCUACGAAUAUUAUUAUAUGACUGAAAUAAAAAAAUAUAAUCAUCGGGAUAUAGCUAUAAUCUAAAUUGUUCAUAAAAGUCUUAUUAUGGAAACUUGGUAAGCCUUAUACAUACCUAAUUUAAAUACCCUGCAUAUGCAGGGUUAUAUUUAGGAAGUAAUAUAUAAUAUUAAAGAUCUCCCCGCCCACCUUUGGUGGGCGGGCUUUAUUUAAUAGAAAUUAUUAUAUAGUGUAGAAGGUAAAGGAUAAAUAUAAAAAGCUAAUGAUUUUAUGUAAUGUAAAAUAUAAAGUUAUUUAACUUAUUUCGAAAGAAAGCUGACUUAUAUAUAAGGCCAUUAAAAAAAAAUAAUAUAACAUUAUAAAUAAACGGUUUCCUUUAAGGGGCCCAUGUUUAUAAAAAGUUAUAUUAUAUUUAAGAUAAAAUAAUCAAGAUGAAAUCUUGAUGAUUAGGGGGGCCUACGGCCCCCCCAUUAUGCCUACUAUAUAAAAAAAUAUAUAUCUAUUUUUUUUAUGGAUAUAAGUAUAAUAGGGAAAUCUUAAAAAAUGGUUUGAGCCGUAUGCGAUGAAAGUCGCACGUACGGUUCUUAAGGGGGGAAAGCUUGAGAGGGCCUACCUAUCCUAACAAAUUCAUUGACGUAUAAUUGACGUCCUGCAUGAAUGAAUAUACGAUGCGAUAACUGUAUCCAAAGUAGACUCAGUGAAAUAGCAAUUGCGGUGAAAUUAGUACUAUAAUAUAUCUAUAUUAUACGCCGGGUUGGUGAAAAUCCAACUUUAUAGUUAAAAUACCCCCGCGAAGCGGGGGGGAUUUAAAAGUAUUAAAGAAUUAUCCGGUAUUUUCCGACAUAAUAAUUCAAAAAAAGAAUACAAUCGAAUAAUACUUAAUCCUUUAAAUGGGAUAAAUUACCCCCCCCCGAAGGGGGGGGGUGAUUAAUCCUCGGCUACGCCGGAGGAUAAAUUACAAAAGGCAAAAUGUAAUUUUAUAACUAUAAAUAAAAAGGUGAAAACGGUUAAUGAUAUCUUAGUUAAAGACCGUCGGCAGUUGUAUAUGUCGCUACAGACUGGUUCACCGAGGUUAGACUGAAAUGUCUGUCUAAAUGUACAGUCGGAUUCUGUAAUAUAAUAGAUAAAUAUAUGGGCCCGCCUUCGGCGGGCCUAAUGAUAUAUUUAUUUUUAUAUAAAGGUGAAAGAUUUAUCUAUUAUUUAGAUAUAACUUAUUAGUACAUAAGUAAGAAACCUUUGUAGGUCAAACCUACUUAAGUUAAUCAGAAUUGGAAGAUGCCGUAUUUCCGUAGGUUGACAAAAAGACCCUAUGCAGCUUUACUAUAUCUUUAUUUUGAUUUUUUAAUCAUAAUUUAUCCCCCGAAGGGGGAUAUAAUCAUCCCCGCCCUACGGGCGGGGGAUAAUUUAUUAUGAUUAACCCUUUUUUUAUUUAUUUCAGUAGAUUAGGUUAUAUUUAUAUUUUAAAUCAAAUGAGAUACCUAUAUAAAUAAAAAAAGAAUCUAAUUAAUAUAGUCAAAAUUCAAUAUUAAUUGAAUUGCCCUUAAAAAGGGUUAUUAAUAAACUAAUGACUUAAGUUUUAACUUAUUUAAGAAAGAGUAAAGAGGUUAGUUUCGAUGGGGCGUCGACAUCAGCGAAAGCAUCUGAUGUGUCUAAUAACAAAGAUCUUGAAUAUCAAGACUAAAUGUUUAAUUAAAUUAUUUAUUUAAUAGUAAAUAACGUACAAUAAUUCUAUAUGGUAAAUAGAAUAAAAAGAUAUGAUAGGAAUUACCUAUCUUUAAAUUUUAUCUUAUCCCCGCUAAGCUUAGCGGGGUAUAUAAGUAAGGAUAACAACAUAAUUGUGCGAUGAUAAUAACACAAACAAGUGGAAUUAGUACUUACGUAGAGUGUAGUGAACAGGCAUAAACAAAUGGUAUGGAUGUCGAUAACGGAUUAAAGUUACGCUAGGGAUUAAAUGUUAGUUCCUUUAUAUAAUAAAUUAUAUAUUAUCUCCGCGAUAGUGAGAUAGCCCUCUAAUGAGGGUAUAUUAAUUGGGUGAAUAACAAAAAACUCUUUAUCAAUAUAAAGACAAUUUGUAACGAAGUAUAUAUGCCCCACCUACGGUGGGGGGGAAGUUUUAAUAAGAUAUAUAAACGUUCAACGACUAGUAAUUGAGUAAACUAACAAUAAUAUUACCACGAGCGCCCAAUACCUAAUUUACCCCCCGCCUGAAGAGGCGGGAUAUAAAAUGGGCCCCGAAGGGGCCCAUGAUUAUUUAAUUAAUCUUUAUAUUUUAUAUUUCUUUAAUGCCCCUUUGGGGUAUUUUAUAAUUUAAAUGCCCGCCCACCGAAGGUGGGCGGGCAUCCCCGUCCUUCGGACGGGCAUAAAAAUGAUUUUUUAUAUAUGGGCAUUAAGGUAAAGACAUAGUCUGAACUAUAUAGUGAUAUAUAGAAGUUGUAAUUAAAAAAGCAACAAUAACAAAAUUGAACAGGGUAAUACCGCGUGAGAGUUGAUAUCGUCAGCGGUGUUUGCCACCUCGAUGUCGUCUAGACUCGUCCUCCUGGUCGCAGCAACUAGGUAGGGUAGGACUGUUCGUCCUCUAAGGAGUUACUUGAGAUGGGUUAAUUACGACGUGAGUCAGUAAUGAUUUUAUCAUCUAUGGAUUUUUUUCUUAUCUGUUGCCUUAAGUGUACGCAAGGAUAAUAAGGUACAUUCCUAUGGUUAAUUAUUUAAUUUAGCUAAGAAUGUUGUGUUUACAUAUUGAAUGCAUAUCAAAUAUUAAAUCCUUCAGAUAAGUUUAUACAUUAUAGACUAUAAUGUUUUAGUUAAUAUGUGAUUUUCGCAUAUUUUCUAAUUAAUCCCCCCGAAGGGGGUAUAUAAUAAGGGGCCCCCGAAGGGGGCCCCUAAUUAAUUUAUUUAUAAUACUUAUAUUAUAAAUUAAAAUACAUAUACCU